rnacentral:tRNA from 1 species
GCGAUCGUAGCCAAGUGGUAUGGCAUCAAACUUUUAAUUUGAGUAUCGUUAGGGUUCGAUUCCCACCGAUCGCACCA